UACGUAGGGUGCGAGCGUUGUCCGGAAUUAUUGGGCGUAAAGGGCUCGUAGGCGGUUUGUCGCGUCGGGAGUGAAAACACCGGGCUUAACUCGGUGCUUGCUUCCGAUACGGGCAGACUAGAGGCAUGCAGGGGAGAACGGAAUUCCUGGUGUAGCGGUGAAAUGCGCAGAUAUCGGAAGGAACACCGGUGGCGAAAGCGGCGCGCUGGAUCUCUUCUGACGCUGCGGCGCGAAAGCCAGGGGAGCGAACGGG
rnacentral:rRNA from 1 species